rnacentral:rRNA from 1 species
GAAUAACGCUGGCGGCGUGCCUAAAACAUGCAAGUCGAACGAUGCUUUCGGGCAUAGUGGCGCACGGGUGCGUAACGCGUGGGAAUCUGCCCCUUGGUUCGGAAUAACAGUUAGAAAUGACUGCUAAUACCGGAUGACGACGUAAGUCCAAAGAUUUAUCGCCGAGGGAUGAGCCCGCGUAGGAUUAGCUAGUUGGUGUGGUAAAGGCGCACCAAGGCGACGAUCCUUAGCUGGUCUGAGAGGAUGAUCAGCCACACUGGGACUGAGACACGGCCCAGACUCCUACGGGAGGCAGCAGUGGGGAAUAUUGGACAAUGGGCGAAAGCCUGAUCCAGCAAUGCCGCGUGAGUGAUGAGGGCCUUAGGGUUGUAAAGCUCUUUUACCCGGGAUGAUAAUGACAGUACCGGGAGAAUAAGCUCCGGCUAACUCCGUGCCAGCCGCCGCCGUAA